GUGUAAGCCUGAAAGCUAGGUUUCAGUCGUGAGCCAUGUGGAACACGUCUGCAUCGAAAUGGGAGCCGGGUCCUGCUGCAACUGGGGACAGCAAUACCGACAUGCAGUAAUGAGGAUGGCACCAGUAUAAAGCAACACACUCCAUGCACUAAACAGAAGCUGCUGCCUGCUACAACAAGGUCAUUGUGUGGACUUUGGCUGCUACUACAAGAGUCUGUGCCAAGUACAUCUUGGUCAUCACGGGAGCCCCCAUCUACACCAACAGGAAGGGGCUGGAGCUGAAUUCGCAAGACCACAAAAAAAGAAGCCAUUGCAGAAUUAUUUGGAUGAGAUAUCAAGUCUACGGACGACUGUUUCAAGAGUGAAAAGAGCCUACGCCAUCAUUCCACCAGCACGGAUAUUGGCCGAGUCAUCCAGGUACCUCAACAACAAAAAUUAUUUGUCUUCAGAUGUACCUGCAACCUCUGAACAAGCACAGAUGACGCUGGCUAAGAGUGUUCUGUCAGCUUGCCCUU